GGACUGCUGAUACGCAUAAGGUUAUCUUCAGAAGGCAUUUUAAAGAAUACAUGUUCGCAUAAUUUCGCUAUGUUAGUUUAUAAAUUAAAAGACUGAUAAUUGUCCUUAACUUCUAGUAAUAAAUUCAGAACAUCCUUUCAUACAUUUUAUGUCAUGACUGCACACCGACAAAAUAACAUGAACAUCAACUUAUAGUUCAUUGCCCUCGUUGUAGCAAACAGUGUGUGGGGCGUGGCAUCAGAUGCUGAAUAUGACUUUCAGGCGAUAUUGGACAGGCUCAACAACUUAGAAACACAAAACGUAAAACUAUGGAAAGAGCAUGUUGAGCUGAAAAAGGAAAAUGCCUAAUUGUUGGACCGCAUUUGUCAUUUUAGUCAACGUAACCAUCUACAAGAAACAGCGCUGCGACCUCUAGCCAAUCGAAGAAUCGGAUCUCAAGAGCCAGAAGCGUUCUCUGCAACGAUGUCCACAAAACAAAUGCACUUAGGAAUCAACCAAAACCUCGUGUUUGAUAGGGUUCUUUUAAACGACGGAUCCGGCUACUAUCCUCUACAUGGUUUGUUUAUUGCUCCACAAUCGGGAAUUUAUAUGGUAUCUUCGUCAAUCAUGGCCUGGAAUGGACGAGCGUUGGCUGCGGAAAUCGUCAAAAAUGGCAAUGUUCAAGCUCGAGUUUACGCCCAUGAACUAUCGGUACGAAGUUUCGUUAAGGCAGAUGCGAAGGUUUGUGGAAGUGAUUACCCUUCGUUUAGUGGCUACCUGUUGUGGCCAAUGUAGUCAUCCAAAUUACCAACCAAAUAUGAAAUAUUAUCAACUAUUAAAUCAGAGGUUAAUGAAGUGCGUAGUUGAUCUAUCUUCAAAAUAAAUGGCAUAAUGCUAAAAUCUGUUAAAACGCCUACUAUUAAACAAUUUUGCUUCUUUUAUUUGUCAAUACCUGCGUUAGCCAGAUGUAGCUUUUACUAUUUUUGUUAUUCUUCAUAAAGCCAAAAUGUGUGACGUAUGCUCUUAAAGCCCUCAUAAAUAAUACUAUAAAUUAAAACAUAAAACAUUGCAUGGAAUACUUCAUCUCAUAUUGUGAUUUUAUAUUUUCGUGCACUUAGGCAAUGCUUUAGCUUAUUGUAUACGUAACAAAAUGCAUCAUUUACACGAUUUUGCUUUAAACUAUUUCGAUAUUUUGAGCCAAUAAAAUGUAUUUUUAAUUA